CCUGAACAUUUUGCAUAAGAAUUCAAUCAGUAGUGAGACUAUUAAAAAAUACAGAAAUAGUAAAAAUGAAGCAUGCAUAAAAAAAAAAAAAGAUGCUUAUACCGCUCUCUUCACAAAAGAAACACUGCUCCUACUAACAAUAAUGAGACUAUAGCCAAGUUCUUUAUUUUUUGGUGAUAUAUGUUAUGAUUAGUGCUUGUAAAAUAACUAAUAAUUGACCCGUCUCCAAAUGCAUAGCUUGGUAGUCUUCAGAAAAUAACUCAAGUAAGAAGCUUUUGAAAAUGAUAAUUUAACCAUAUACAGCCCAAGUUACAGAUCAAUUGUCCAGAACCAAAAUGAACCUUCCCUGUCUUUUAGCUCCGUGCUCAGACUACACCAAUUGAAAACUUGAUUGCAUGAUUCACGGAUUAUUUUCUUCACAACAGAGUAGACUGAACUCUAAAGUAGUACUAUCCUUUUCAUUUUUUAUCUCUUUCUUGAAGUCCAUUUUUCAAUGAUUUUCACUAAAAUAUAAAAAAUGUAAUCCAUUAUUCUGACAAUUUUGCAAGUGGAUGAUGG
rnacentral:misc_RNA from 1 species